CCGGCGAGGGGAGUGAAAAAGAACCUGAAACCGUGUACGUACAAGCAGUGGGAGCACCCUUCGGGGUGUGACUGCGUACCUUUUGUAUAAUGGGUCAGCGACUUAUAUUCUGUAGCAAGGUUAACCGAAUAGGGGAGCCGGAGGGAAACCGAGUCUUAAUUGGGCGUUAAGUUGCAGGGUAUAGACCCGAAACCCGGUGAUCUAGCCAUGGGCAGGUUGAAGGUUGGGUAACACUAACUGGAGGACCGAACCGACUAAUGUUGAAAAAUUAGCGGAUGACCUGUGGCU
rnacentral:rRNA from 1 species